ACCUUGUUAUCUCAGAUUCUCCAGUAUCUGCAGUUCCUACUAUCUCUCAAAGACAAGAAUGUUGCCAUCAAGCUGUGGCUGACACCUAAAGGCCAUUUCAAGAAGCUACCAGAACAUAAGAAUUAACUGAGCUUCAUAAAGAAGUCACUGUUUGCAAAAAGCAAAAUGCAGCAGAUGAGGUACAAUUAAACAAAUUCUUUGUUCAGAGAAAGGACAGCUUGACACAACAUAACACACAACUUACUAGGAAAAUUGGAAGAAAAAGAGGCUAACUAGCCAUAAUAGCCUUUAACCUGAGCUGGCAACACACAGCUUCCAAAGUCAGUAGAAGCAAUCUUAUUGGAAUGAAAACAAAAAGAUGUUAGGUUGAGAUCUGUACAAAAUAAAUUACUGUGUGUUAUUUUUGCAGCUUGUUUAUGUAGUCUUUGCAAUUACAACCGUCAUGGCAUUUUGUAUGUAAAUUUGUAGUAAUGGAUAUUGUCAUGUAAUCAGAAAAUGAAUGAGAUAUGCAAAAUUAUGGUGGUUACUUACGUGGAUUAUUAUCCCCUUAAAGUAAUGAAUAAUAUGGAUGUGUACUCAUCUGUGCCACAUGGAGUUUUAAAUGUCCUUGCUAGUGAAAGCCUAGGAUAUAGUGUGAAUGUAGGUUGCAUGGAUUAAAGGACUUUUCCAUGUUUUUAACA